rnacentral:rRNA from 1 species
UACGAAGGGUGCAAACGUUGCUCGGAAUCAUUGGGCGUAAAGCGCACGUAGGCGGCCUCGCAAGUCUGAUGUGAAAUCCCUCGGCUCAACCGAGGACGUGCAUCGGAAACUGCGGGGCUUGAGUACUGAAGAGGAUCGCGGAAUUCCCGGUGUAGAGGUGAAAUUCGUAGAUAUCGGGGGGAACACCAGUGGCGAAGGCGGCGAUCUGGGCAGAUACUGACGCUGAGGUGCGAAAGCGUGGGGAGCAAACAGG